AUGAGAAAGUGUCUGAGGGUGUAGCAGGCGUGAACUUUGGUGCUCUUAAGGGUCACCACAAUGUUGCCGUACUGCUCGCUGUUCUCCGUCGGCCAGUACUGGUCACACUUCCUCUGUCAAGGACAACAGCACCCCCUUUAGAUUCCUCGCAGCAUGACAGCAGAAACAGAGAAGUCCUGCUGAACCCACUCGUCCUUUCUCCACCAGGUUUGUGAUCAUCACGAUGAUUCUGGUGUUCUGCUCCCACACCAUCCUCCAAAAGUCUUCGAACGUGGACUUGAGAGGACCCUGAGCUGCGAUGUAGGCUCUCGGACGGUUGUAACCCUGAGAAGGAGAACGCAGACAUUUACACGGAUUUCCUGAGGGAAUCGCAGCCCAAACAUCUUAGAGAAUGAGAACACAAAACAGAGUCCCACGGCACCUCAGCCAUCCCCACACAUCACGUCUAAGAACAAAUACAUAUAAAAAAUAAAUAAAUGAACAAAACAUGAAGUCAUAAUAAAUAAGGAAAACAAAAGCAUACAUUUAUACAUUUCUGCUCUCAAGUGUGAGACUAGCAGAGAGAUUUGAGAUGUUGUCAAACGAGUCGCAAUUGCUUAUAAAAUACGUUGACACUUUUCAGAUUCAGAGAAAUGAUUUUAGAAAAGUCAUCAGUUUAGAAAUUUCUGUGAGAACUCCAGUCCUGACAGAUGACCACACAAGCAAACAUGGCUGCCACACACACAAACAACACAAUGACAAUAUAGUUACAAGGCAUUAACUCACAAACCUGCUAUAACAAACCUGUUAUUAUUAUUAUUAUUAUUAUUAUUAAUGAUAAUAAUAAUGUCCGCCUUCAUGGUUGAGCAAGUGUAAACAUUCCUCACAGUUUUGCCUGUAAAGCACCUUGUGAACAGCGCUCGGAAACAUAAUGUUAUUAUAUUAUUAUUAUCGCUGAGCUUCUUUUAUACCUCUGUAGCACGACGUUAGCAAAACAUUCUGGUUGAGAAACUCACAUCCACGUAGUUGGCGUUGAUAUAGUCUGAAUGUUUGGCGUCUUUUCCUGCCAGAGCUCGGAGCUUCACUCUGCUGUGGUCGUCUGGAUAAAACAAAUGUUCUUGAGUAAGAACAAGCCCCGGUUUGUCGUAGCGGACAUCCCGACAAACUUACAAGCCAUGAUGUUGAUGUAUCUGUUCUUGUGCUUGUUGUCAGGGUGGUUGGAAUGAUCCGCAGUGAUCUUCAGGUCGGCUGUGGAACGCUGGACUUCCUGGAGACGGGGAUGGAUUUUGGUCAGACAUUCUAGGCUUCACAUUCCUGUCAGUAAAUCCCAACACAAGGUUAACUGAACCUCAAACUCCUCAGAGAAGCCUUGCAGGUUGUUCUUGUACAGCUCCAUGAUGUGUUUCACAAACUGCUUGACAGGAAUGGCCUCCAUGUCGUCUGUCAAAGACACAAGAAUCACACAAUCGAAAAACAUCACCACUGCAUUUCACUGCACAGCAGCCUUAGGAUUUAAGCGGGAGAAAACACACGCACACACGGGUCUGGUCACCAAGACAGGACAAUAGAUCUGGGACUCAGCUGUCUGAGCAUGAAACCAAUGUCUCAACUCAUUCACCAGAGCAGCUGCGGCCUUGGCUUCUCCUGCUUCAGCGAUCGCAGCGCCGAGCUGAGAACUGCUCUGUAAAUGUUGUUAUUUACCGGGAUGUUUACUUCCUCUCUGCUCUGGGGAAAUGCUCAUUCAAAAAGUGCUUGAGAGGACUGUAAAAUCUUCUCAUGAAUUGAUUGCUCCUGAAUGGUUUAACUAUGUAUACGUGGAGGAAUUGGUAUCAUUUCAACAAGAAUGAUAAACCGAUUUCAAAAUAUACCACCAAUGCUAUACUGUGUGUUGCUCUCAGACUGUGGGAAGAAACCAGAGUCCCCAGAGACAAACAAAAAGCAAAGCUGUAGAAAUCAUGUACACAAUCAAGACAAAAAAAAGAAUAAAAAUACAACUACUGCUCCUCCUACUACUACUACUAAUAAUAGUAAUGGAUGAAACGAUCGACUGCACUUUCAAUGAAGCCAGGCUUUAGCUCAUUGCUAACAUACUUAAUAUAAGGCUAAACAUUCAUCAUUCACAUCAUCCAAUUUACUCCUCAAAUGUUCAGGUUAUCUACAGUUUAAUGUAUUGAAAUCUGGGCAAAGGUACUUGAACUUAAUAUGGGAAGUAUAAACAAUAAUUCCCUGAUAUGGUUUUAUGUGUUUCAUACCAUGUUUCUCUCAACAUUAUGUCACUCACGCACAACAGCUAUUUGCGAUGUUAAAUAUCAAAACAUCAGUGUAUGGUUUAAAGUACUCUGCUACAAUUUAACACAUUCGAAACAUCAGCUUUAAACAGACUAUACUUGAUGUAAAGUAAACAAAACGAAAACGUGCAAGUAAAGAACUUUUUGGAAACAAAAUGAUGAUUGUACAGGCCCAUAUUAGCAUUUUACACACCUCCAUCCCCAGAACAUACACACUAUAAAACGCCAGCUUCAUCGGCAGUCUCUGUUGUGUUUACAGUGAUUUGUGACUCCAGUUUCUGCCUGGUCCAUCCCAAAGUCAACAUGAAACAAUGUGCUGCAGCAAAGCUCAGCAUUUAUGGAAGUAAAGAGCGCCACUCACCUGGAAUGGGGAUGAAGGGAAUGCUCUCACUGGCCACCACCCUGGGAGAGCUGCUCUCCUCCACGUAGAAGUGAGCCGUCUGGAAGAAUCUUCUGCAGGGACACAUGAAGAGCGGCCUCUCCACACGCACAGCAACACUAAAGAGCCACCAAGCUGGUCAGUCCUCACCUGCCUUUGAUGCAGAGCAGCGAGCAGAUCAUUGUCAUGCUGUCACACGGAACGCACCAAGAAAAACUGCAUUUCAAAUUUGAAGGUGAGAAAGGCAGGAGGAGGGGCAGUGAAUGGCCCCCUCCAGACCUGCGUCAUUGUCUCCAAGCACCAAUCAAACCCCAAGAGAGACCACAUGCUUUGUUGAUGCUUGGUUGAUGGGUCACAGCUACUCUUUGAGAAUGUGAAGCAGAUUCUUGUUAACACGCCACGUCUGAGGUGAAACUGCAUUGAUUUCCACUCUUGACGUGUGAAAUCUGUGUUUCUGAGACUUGUGCUUGUUAGCUUCACAGGCUAGCAAAAGAAAACAAAGGGGAAAAAAGCUGUUUUCUUUUCUUUGUUUUAUAAAAUAAAACACUUUAGAUGAGCAUAUUAGCUGUUAAUAUGCUAUUUACUUUCCAAUUUACUGAAAAUCGCAUCAGAAUGAUGCUGUUGACUGGAGUGAUUUUUGGUGACUAUUCCAGGGUUAAAUCGGUCUUGACACACAUCAGUACUUUAUGAUGAAUUACCUGCUAAUGUGCUGAGAAUAUACUUGAAUAAAUAAGUAGUUUAUCUAUUGGGAUAUAUGUUGAAAAAUAAUUUGACCAAGAUAAGCACAAUGUUUUACAUUUUAUUUUGCAAAUGACGGCUAAUGUGGAGGAAGUUAGUUUAACUGCGAAACAUUUGGAAAUUCAAAAAUGUCUCCUUCAAAACCUUGUUCUCAUUGAGUUGUAAAAAUAAUAUUUAUGGAGUUGGUUCGAGGUCUUUGGCAAUCAUAAUGCAUGUGACAAAUCCUCCCUUCUUGCAAGCGCAGUCACAGAGGGACUCUGAGCUCAACACAGCCAGCGAGAGCUGGUUGGUUACACUGACAUCACGGUUUCACCCCGCGGGAGCAAAGACGGUCCGGAAAUUGUCGCCACAACAACAGCUGGGAUAAUCGCAUCCGCUGGCCUGCUGCUCGAAUUCCAAAAGUCUCUGUGAGUCCCGCACCUUCUGAAUCGGUAAGCAUCAUCCAGAGUUCAGCUGAGGGGAGAAAGUCUCACGGGAGGAAGACUUUCCUUUUGUUUAGCCUGGAAGUCAUCAGAGUGGAGCUGUUUUCACAGGUUUGCAUGACCAUGUCUUUACAUGAUGGUCACUUCAGAAUAAGAAGGAUUACAGCACAUCAACAUUUGAGGUCUUCUGAUUCAGGUGUUCCUCCUUCCUAAGUAGUUCCCACAGACAUUUGGUCAAAGUGGUGACUGUGGUGGUAUUUAUGUAUUUAUAAAGAGUAUAAUUCACUCUAUAUAAAUAUACAAAGCAGUUGAUGUGCAAUAACAGGGUGCCAGAACAGGUUCUGACAGCAAUAUUUUGGGGGCUAAAUUGUUACCUGUGUUGUCACAGACCUCCUGGCUUUUCGCCCACAUUUCCCAUUUGUCUGGCCUUUCUAGCCGAGUGACUUAAGAAUGCGAAAUGGCACUGUGGAGUGAUCAGCUACGUGAAUCCAGCGACCAGUCCUUGGUCUACAUUUGUCAAUAGUUGGUGUUUGAAAAUCAAAGCUUGUCACGAGUAUUAAACUUGUGUGUUUGAUCGGCUGUUCUGUUGAGCAGGAGACGGCUUGAGCUCAGCUUCCCAACUGUUUACCAGGAAACCAAUAUGAUGCCACCAUAAUGUGUGGAAAAAUUCAUUCUAGGAAGAAAUAUUCAUAUUUAAUAUUGUCACAAAAUAAAUGCCAAUAUUUCCCCCCAGCACCUAUUAUCACUAUUAUUGUUUUAUUGUAGUACUGAAGUAGUAUUUUACACUCAGUUUAUUCCUGACAAAAAAGCAAACAAACGUGAAAUCAAUAACCCUGUAGGUGUCCAACGCCGUACAUGAGAUGGAAAUCCAUGAGGAACAGUAUCUAUGGAACCAACUGAGGAAACUCUGUGAAAUGUGUAGCUCAUUAAGCAGCGCCCCCUGUGCCAGUGGCCUGUGCUGUGUAAUUACCAGGGAGUCCGAUGGCAGGGCUGGAAAUGAGCCCAGCAGAAGACACAGCUGGGACUCCCACCAGGCCUGUGGGGAGUCUCCAUCCUCUCGCCAGAACUGUGAUGUGUCACGUGACGCCCCAAACGGCUGUUUACACAAACAGGAAAAUCCAGACACGCAGGGUGGCGUGUGGACCAGGGAGGACACGGUUCCCCUGGGAGUCCAAGGCUGUCUGCUUCAUCCAGGAGGGUCAGUCAAUCUGUUUCCCCCCCAUUACUGCGAAGCUCUUCAUCCAAUAAAGAGAAGAGGCGGAGCCAGCAACCUUGACAUGAAAGGUGGAAACUUCCUCUUCCUCACCUCCAGUAGACCAUCACAAUGAGCAGCAUGAUGAGGCAGAGCAGCGUGAGAGCAGACACGACCACCAGGGGGACGAUCCAAACCAUCCUGCCCAUCGCAGCAUGAGGGGUCCGGGUCACGUUGGACAAAGUGGUGCGGUCUGAAACAUCACACGCCCAUUACAACAAGACAGCCAAACUCAUUUGACAAUUCAACCCGAGCGCUUUACGUGUGGCUGGUUCUAGCCUUCAGUCAGCGCCACCUGGUGGCGGACUCUAGCUUCACACUGGGAAAUCCCACUUUGAUAGAUGGGACAAGGUUUCAGCCAUUCUUUACCUGCCUGCUUCCAUUUGUUUUAUCCUUUGGAUCGUCUCUAAAUGUGUUUAUAAAUA